rnacentral:rRNA from 1 species
GGACCCGCACAAGUAGUGGAGCAUGUGGUUUAAUUCGAAGAUACGCGCAGAACCUUACCAACACUUGACAUGUUCGUCGCGACUCUAAGAGAUUAGAGUUUUCGGUUCGGCCGGACGAAACACAGGUGCUGCAUGGCUGUCGUCAGCUCGUGUCGUGAGAUGUUGGGUUAAGUCCCGCAACGAGCGCAACCCUCACUUUUAGUUGCCAUCAUUAAGUUGGGCACUCUGAAAAGAAACUGCCAGUGAUAAGCUGGAGGAAGGUGGGGAUGACGUCAAGUCCUCAUGGCCCCUUACGUGUUGGGCUACACACGUGCUACAAUGGUAAUCUACAAACAGGAAAGCAAAAACGGCGAACGUUAAG